UGGGGAAUAUUGCGCAAUGGGCGCAAGCCUGAUCCAGCCAUGCCGCGUGGAUGAUGAAGGCCUUAGGGUUGUAAAAUCCUUUCGCCGAGGACGAUAAUGACGGUACUCGGAGAAGAAGCUCCGGCUAACUUCGUGCCAGCAGCCGCGGUAAUACGAAGGGGGCUAGCGUUGUUCGGAUUUACUGGGCGUAAAGGGCGCGUAGGCGGCGUAAUAAGUCACUUGUGAAAUCUCCGGGCUUAACUCGGAGCGGCCAAGUGAUACUGUUAGGCUAGAGUGCAGAAAGGGCAAUCGGAAUUCUUGGUGUAGCGGUGAAAUGCGUAGAUAUCAAGAGGAACACCUGAGGCGAAGGCGGGUUGCUAGGCUGACACUGACGCUGAGGCACGAAAGCUAGGGUAGCAAACGGGAUUAGAUACCCAAGUAGUCCCUGAGCGGGCUGGCAAGGCGCAU
rnacentral:rRNA from 1 species